AUUGUUUUGGUGUCUUGGAUUGCUCCCUUUGGGGAAAGCCGCGGUCAUGUCCUGCAGACACUCAAACAAGCCUGCAGAGAGGCCCACGUGAAGAGGAACCAACUUUCCAACCAGGAGUGAGCCACCUAUGAACUCCUGGGUAAAUACCUAGCAUUUCCCCUAUUCAGAGAGACAAAGGCCAGGCUUGAAGGACCUGAAUAUGACCCAGCAUGAACAACACAUUCUCGGACAGAAGAGGAGACUGACCAUCAAACAGGGAACAAAUCGUCUGUGUCUCUCCUGUUUCUUUUCCAUCUCAUGUAAGGAAGUCAAGUAGAGAUUGGUGAAUGGGCAAUAUGUUUGUUUCAUUCAACAAACAUAAAUCCCUGGGAAAGACUAGAGAAGAGUCAUCUGGCGAUAUCCUGCAUUCCCUUUGUGUAGGCAGAAUGACACCUUAAACAUGUCCAAGCCUGAAUUCCUGGAACCUAUAAACAUGUUAUGCUACAUGACACGAGAGACUUCACAGAUGUAAUUACGGUUAUGGAGCUUAGAUGAAUGAAUCCUGGAUUAUCUGGGUGGUCCAGUCUAAUCACAUGAACCCUUAAGAACAGAGAACUUUGGAUGGAGUCAGAGAGGUGCUGCAGAAGGAGAAGUCAGAAAGACUCAAUGUUUGAGAUGUACU
rnacentral:lncRNA from 1 species